rnacentral:rRNA from 1 species
UACGUAGGGUGCGAGCGUUGUCCGGAAUUAUUGGGCGUAAAGGGCUCAUAGGCGGUCUGUCACGUCGGGAGUGAAACUCAGGGCUUAACCCUGAGCCUGCUUCCGAUACGGGCAGACUAGAGGUAUGCAGGGGAGAACGGAAGUUCCUGGUGUAGCGGUGAAAUGCGCAGAUAUCAGGAGGAACACCGGUGGCGAAGGCGGUUCUCUGGGCAUUACCUGACGCUGAGGAGCGAAAGUGUGGGGAGCGAACAGG